rnacentral:rRNA from 1 species
GAUGAACGCUAGCGGCAGGCUUAAUACAUGCAAGUCGAGGGACAGCACAGGUAGCAAUACUGGGUGGUAACCGGCAAACGGGUGCGGAACACGUACACAACCUUCCUUUAAGUGGGGGAUAGCCCAGAGAGAUUUGGAUUAAUACCCCGUAAUAUAGUUGAAUGGCAUCAUUUGAUUAUUAUAGCUACGGCGCUUAAUGAUGGGUGUGCGGCUGAUUAGAUAGUUGGCGGGGUAACGGCCCACCAAGUCUACGAUCAGUAGCUGAUGUGAGAGCAUGGUCAGCCACAGGGGCACUGAGACACGGGCCCGACACCGACGGGAGGCGGCAGUAAGGAAUAUUGGUCAAUGGACGCAAGUCUGAACCAGCCAUGCCGCGUGAAGGAUUAAGGUCCUCUGGAUUGUAAACUUCUUUUAUUUGGGACGAAAAUGGGCCUUUCUAGGUCAACUGACGGUACCAGAUGAAUAAGCACCGGCUAACUCCGUGCCAGCCGCCGCAGUAACAC